UAAAAAAUAUUGUGGUAGCAUCUCCUUUUGUUUCUGUUAGUAUAUUUCUUCCUUAAAUUACCAUUUUAUCUGAGAGUACCGUGAUUUUGUUUAGUGUUUGUCAGUUGUAUCUUUUACAGUUAUCUUGUUUUGUCUUUUUGCCUUAGAUAUAGUUCUCAUAGACAGAACUUAACACCAAUUUUUAAGCCAAAUUGAACUUAUUUGCAUAAAACCUAAUCCAUCUAUAUUUAUUGUUAUUACUGAUAUAUUUAAACUUAUUUAUGUCAUCUUACCAUUUUCUUUACUCCUGUGGUACUCUUUUGAAAUGGGAAAGUUUUUACAAAUUCUCUUUAAUGGUUGUCCUUGAAUUUUUUAAUAAACAUUUUUGUAAUUUCCCCCCAAAUCUCCCAUAGAAAUUUAAAUUGCCCUGCAAUGCUCUUUCCCCUGGAGUGCUUAAAACAUUAUACAUAUGCACAAACAUGAGGGUAGAAAACUCUCAUCACUUCCCAAAAACUAUACAGUAGCCAAGGAAAAUGUUUGUGUAUCAAUGCUAAGCAAGUAGGAAGACCCAAAAUUUGAGUGUUUCAUUGGUGAAAGUAUGUAAUAUAAUAUUGUUUUGAUCUUCAUUGUCCCAUAUUCAGCAUGUUAUAUACUGUAUUUUAUCUCUUCUUGAAGAAACAGUGAAUGAAACUUGAAAAACAGAGUGACACAAACUGUGAAAUAAGCCAGAGUGUUACUACAGCAUCGGUUCUCACAAAGAUUUGUCUAGAUAUGAAGAUAGAAACUCUGCUGGAGCUGCUGCAUAUGUCUUACUUGGACAUCUAAUAAGGCUCAGCCAGCAUGAUGUCACCAGUGCACUGGGCCAACCAGCCCUUCUGUGGGGUGGAAAGGUGAGCAAAGAAAAUGAAAAUGUAUUCCACUGUCUUCCAGCUCCCUUUAUUUCCAUCAAGAAAUCUGCUGUCAUAUCCUUUGUUGGUUAUUUUAGUUUUCACUUUCAUUCAGUUUUAAGUACUUUUCUUAAUCUUAUUCUACAGCUGUUAAUACAAUGUUUCUUGGCAGAUUUUUGGGUCAAUGUACUUAGGAUACAUUAUAGUUUCUGACCCCUAGUGAUGCUAUGGACAUUUGGCUUGGAACAGCUCAAUCUCUCCAAUUUCUUUUGUGUUCACUGUUUCAAGGUCUGGAUUUAGCUCAUUUUUUUUUUUUUCAGGGAGAAAGUAAAUCUUCAGAUAUUUUAUUUUAUGAGAAUCCACAAUGCAAUUAAACAUUUAUUAUAUACAGUAUCUAGUUAUAUUUUAGUGGGAGCCCUUCAAAAUGCUGCCCAUUGAAAAUAUUCAGCCCAGAAUAUUUACCAUAAAUUCCAUGUCUGAAAUAACUAUAUUGUUAACAUACUGGAAUGAUAUAAAAUAAUUUUAAAGAUUAUCAAAACACCUGGC
rnacentral:lncRNA from 1 species